UUUUUUCAUUAUUAUAAUUUUCUUGCAACUCGUAAUUAGUUCAUUUUGCUCAAGAAUAACUCGUCACCCCACCUAAAUAAAUAUGUGAUCCCAAAAAUCAGUUUUAAUUGAUAAAAUGGCUAACAAGAAUCUGAUCAUAGCAACUCUUUUGGCCAUCAUCUUCGUAUUGUCUCUUGCCUCGAUGUGCGAUGCAUCUCGACUUAGUUAUCAAGGUACAAUAUUAAUAUUAGUAAUCUCAUUAAUUACGUAUAUCAUACAACUAAUCUUUAUGUUUCAUUUCAUCAAUUUUAUUCUUUCUUAUCUCCAAAACUAUGCAGAAUUUGGCGCUAAGUUAGAAAAAUGUGGCCCGUGUUUCUGUUGCCAACAGAAUAAUCCGCUGUGCUGCCUCUGCGCCUGCCCCGUGCCGCCGUGAAAAGCUACAGUUUGAGACCAGAUUUUUCUGCUUCAUUAAUUAUGAUUAGUAUGAGGAUGUAAUAAACUUGAUUUGGUUUGUUGUUUGAUGAAUAAAUUUAUGUUCCGUAAAUAGUCAUUUCUUGUUCAUUCAUGAUAUAAGAGAAUCAGUGAAGG
rnacentral:lncRNA from 1 species